AGCUUUAUUGAGAUACAAUUCAAUGGAUUUGAGUAUAUUCAGAGUCAUGCAACCUAACACCACAAGCUAACUGCAGGAUAUUUUCAUCACCCUGAAAAGAAACCCUACACCCAUUAACAGUUAAUCCAUUCCACCUACAGCCAGCCUAGGCAACCACUAAUCUUUCUGCCUAUUCUGGACACUUCAUAUGAAUGGAAUCAUCACGUGAUCUUUUGUGACUGGCUUCUUUCACUUAACGUUUUCAAGGUUUAUCCAUGUUUAGCAUAUAUCAGUAUAUCAGUCCUUCUUUCUUUUCACUGCCAAAUAAUGUUUAUGGGCCUAGGGGUAGAAUUGCUAAAUCACGCGGCAGCUGUGUUUCAUUAGUUUGAGGAACUGACAGUCUGUUUCCUGAAGUGGCUGCACCAUUUUACAUUCCCACCAACAAUGUAUGAGGGUUCCAAUUUCUGCACAUCUUCACCAACACUUGUUAUUAUUUCUCUUUUUAAUUACAGCCAUUCUAGUGAAUGUGAAGUGAUAUCUCAUAGUUUUUUGUUUGCUUGUUUGUUGUUGUUGUUGUUGUUUGGAGACAGAGUCUCACUCUGUCAUCCAGGCUGGAGUGCAGUAGGCACAAUCACAGCUCACUGCAACCUCCACUUCCUGGGUUCAAGUGAUUCUCCUGCCUCAGCCUCCCGAGUAGCUGAGGCUACAGGCAUGCACCACCACACCUGGUUAAUUUUUGCAUUUUUAGUAGAGAUGAGGUUUCACCAUGUUGGCCAGGCUGGUCUCUAACUCCUGAUCUCAAAUGAUCCACCUACCUUGGCCUCCUAAAGUACUGGGAUUACAAACGCGAGCCAUUGUGCCCGGCCUCAUAGUAGUUUUGAUUUACACUUCCCUAAUGAUUGUGUCCAGCAGCUUUUCAUGUGCGAACUGGCCAUUUGUUAGUGGGUUUUGCUUCUUUUAAAAACUGCUGAGCCAUCCAUAAACAUUUUCAAAAUGCAGGGUAUGUUUUUCAGUGUUAAGGCAACUGUUUUGAUGUGUUUUCCUUUGCUCUCUAUCACCAAAUACUGUACAUACAAAUAGUAAGACUGGGCUUUGUGUUGUCCAUUGUUAAUCCUAAAUGCAACAAAACACAUGGAGACUUUGAAAAUCCUUCAGAAUAAUGCUAUAGUUAAGAUUUUGCUAAAGCAAGUGUUUUUUCUAACUCCUUGAGCUGCAUAUUGCCUUGAGUAAUCAUCAUCCGAAUUGUAUCCUCUUCGGUGGCACUUUUGUUUCUUUUGAAUUCUUCCCUUGCCCAAUCCUUCAGGUAUUUGCGAUCAGAAUCAUUUGGAACUUGCUGAAUUGUUUGGAAAAUCCUUCUGUAGAGGAGAAGAACUUGUUGCCUUCUGAUGAACUGCUUUAACAUUAGUGUUGCUGGGCUGUGCCUCGGUGCCUUGGGUUUCCUACAGGGUGAGUGCCCCAGAAGGAACACAGAAAGCUGGGCUGCCGCUUCAUCACGGCUUUCUCGGAAAACGGGGGCGCUGAGAAGCCCAACUUCCAGCUAUAUAUGUCGCCACCGCCCACAGGGCCCCCGACGGCGAUGCUGGUGACAGCGCUCCCUG
rnacentral:lncRNA from 1 species